rnacentral:ncRNA from 2 species
UUCUUAUCAAGAGCGACUGAGGGACCGGCCCUGUGACGUCGCGGCAACCCCCUGAAAAGGGAAGGUGCCAAAUCCUGCGAAACCAUGAGGUUUCGGGAGAUAAGGA